rnacentral:rRNA from 1 species
UGCAGUCGACGAUGAAGCCCAGCUUGCUGGGUGGAUUAGUGGCGAACGGGUGAGUAACACGUGAGUAACCUGCCCCUGACUCUGGGAUAAGCGUUGGAAACGACGUCUAAUACUGGAUAUGACUACUGGUCGCAUGGCCUGGUGGUGGAAAGAUUUUUUGGUUGGGGAUGGACUCGCGGCCUAUCAGCUUGUUGGUGAGGUAAUGGCUCACCAAGGCGACGACGGGUAGCCGGCCUGAGAGGGUGACCGGCCACACUGGGACUGAGACACGGCCCAGACUCCUACGGGAGGCAGCAGUGGGGAAUAUUGCACAAUGGGCGAAAGCCUGAUGCAGCAACGCCGCGUGAGGGAUGACGGCCUUCGGGUUGUAAACCUCUUUUAGUAGGGAAGAAGCGAAAGUGACGGUACCUGCAGAAAAAGCACCGGCUAACUACGUGCCAGCAGCCGCGGUAAUACGUAGGGUGCAAGCGUUGUCCGGAAUUAUUGGGCGUAAAGAGCUCGUAGGCGGUUUGUCGCGUCUGCUGU